AUGAGGAAACCCAGGCAUCACCAUCGGGAAGAGCCUGACUCUGGGACCAGGACUAGACGGCGGGUCAACCCACUAGACAACUGGUCAACCCACCAGCCCCUCUACUUGCUCCAAGACCUCGGACACAUCACCAACUGCCAUCUGCUGAUGGAGAUGAUGGCAUCACACACACAGUCUCUCUGUCUCCCCUCUCUCAGGGACUGAGCUCCUGACUCAGAUGGUCUGUGCCAACUCUGGGUAGUUACUAUCAGAGUUGAAUUGUUGGCCACCCAGUUGGAGAAUUGGUGACUUGUGUUUUCUAAACACAUCACACAUAGGAAGUGAAAUCAACAGGCAUUCAAUUACAUGAUAGAAAUGAGGAAGAGGAUAUUUCUGACUUAGACAAACAGAUGGGUGAAGGUGCCAUUCUCUGAGAAAACAGACAUAAGAGGGGAGCAUGAAUGGGACAGGGGGCAGGAGAUCAUGGGUGGCAUCUCACGCUGAGCCUGAGAUACAUUUGGAACAUCCUGGUGGAAAUGUCAGAAAGCCGAACAAACUGUACCUAACUAGGUCUGGAACCCAGAGAGGCAUGAGCUAUUGAGGCCACCUGCCUAGAGAUGGUAAAUGAAGUGAAAGGACCUUUAAUUAUGGAUAGGAAAACUGAGGCCAGACCAGGAAAGAGGUCUGGCAAGGUUCACACUACGAGUAAUAGGUUUGUUGUUAUUUAGUCGCUCAGUCGGGUCCGACUCCUUUGCGACCCCAUGCCCUCCAGGCUCCUCUAUCCAUGGGAUUCUCCAGGCAAGAAUACUGAAGUGGGUUGCCAUUUCCUCCUCCAGGGAAUCUUCCCAAAUCAGGGAUCAAACCUGAGUCUCCUACACUGGCAGGCAGAUUCUUUACCACUAAACCACCUGGGGAGCCCUAACGGGAUGAAAAAAGGACUUUGCAGGUGUGAUCAAGCUAAGGAUCUUAGCUGGGGAGAUGAUCCUGGAUUAUCUGGGUGGGCCCAGUGUAAUCCCUGGCUCCUUAUAAAAGGGAGAAGGCCAAGUGAGAAGGGCUGCAGAGGUUAGACUGAUGCUGCCAAGAGAUGCAGACAGCCUCUAGAAGCUGCAAGAGGCAAGAAACAGAUUCUCCAUGGAGCCUUCUGGAGGAACCCGCCCGGAGACACCUGGAUUUUAGCCCCACAAGACUCAUUUCCAGUUUCUGCCCUCCAGAACUAUAGGAGAGUAAAUGUGUGUUGCUUUAAGCCACUAAAGUUGUGGUAAUUAACUACAGCUGCCUCGGAACACUAAUACCAUUGAACUUAUCCCUUACCAUUGAGAGCAUGAACUUGGCUCUCCUGGGGAUUCUUCUGGCCAGAAGUAAUACUGCUCUGAGCACAUUUACUGUUCCUUUAACAAGAGUUUCUGGGGCUGAUUCAGCAGCUCAGGCUAUUUCCCUCUUUCUCAUUCUUCAGGAUAGUAAAGUCUCUGCCCAGAAUCAAAAUAGGGCUGUCGUGGGACUGCCCUCGUAGUCCAGUGGUGAAGAAUCCACCUUCCAAUGCAGGCAAUGGGGUUCAAGUCCUGGCUGGGGAGCUAAUAUCCCACCUGCAGCAGAGCAACUAAGCCCACACCCCCAACUAGAGAGCCUGUGCACCCCAGUGAGAAGCCCUGGCACUGCAACUCGAGAAAGUCCACGCACCAGGGCGAAGACCCAACACAGCCCCCCCAAAAAAAAUAAGGAAUGUAGUGGGCUUCCUCAUGAGGGAAAGGGAAAUCAAAAACCACAAUGAGAUGUCACUUCAAACCCACUAGGGUGGCGACAAUAAUAAUACUUUUUUAAAAAACCAAAAAAAAAACGAAAAUAGGGACUUCUCUGGUAGUCCAGUGGCUAAGAUUACAAACUCCCAGUGCAGGGGAUCAGGUUCAAUCUCUGGUCAGAGAACUAGAUCCCACAUGCCACAACUAAGACUUCAAACUCCACAACUAAAAAACCCAUGUAGCCAAAUAAAUAAAUAUUAAAAAAUAAUGAUAAAUGUUCUAAAAAUAGGACCGUCAUAACCC
ensembl:lncRNA